CUUUCUUGGUUGCGUUGGCUCGAUGAAGACUAGUUGAUUGCUCCCCCAUACUCCACUAUGGGUGAGCCACUCUUCCGCACAUCUUCACAAGUCCAUUGUCACCACAAUGGACGGCAAGCUUCAAGCAUUCGAUCUCUUCAUGAUGCUUCACUUGAACUUGCACACCGCAACAUCUUCACAAGUCCAUUGUCACCACAAUGGACGGCAAGCUUCAAGCAUUUGAUCUCUUCAUGAUGCUUCACUUGAACUUGCACACCGCAACCUAACCCCAUAAAGAACUCUCACGAAGAUCAUGGGUUAGUACACAAAGCGUAAUUGACAAUGCUUACCACACCAUGGGAUCGCUUGAUCCCUCCCGGUACAUCUUCUAUGCUUUGUGAGUUGAUCAAGUUGAUUCACUCUUGACUUAGUCUUGAUCAACCUUGACUCUUUC
rnacentral:rRNA from 1 species